GAUGAGCUCGCGGCCUAUCAGCUUGUUGGUGGGGUAAUGGCCCACCAAGGCAACGACGGGUAGCCGGCCUGAGAGGGUGACCGGCCACACUGGGACUGAGACACGGCCCAGACUCCUACGGGAGGCAGCAGUGGGGAAUAUUGGACAAUGGGCGAAAGCCUGAUCCAGCAACGCCGCGUGAGGGAUGACGGCCUUCGGGUUGUAAACCUCUUUCAGUAGGGACGAAGCGCAUGUGACGGUACCUACAGAAGAAGCACCGGCCAACUACGUGCCAGCAGCCGCGGUAAUACGUAGGGUGCGAGCGUUGUCCGGAAUUAUUGGGCGUAAAGGGCUCGUAGGCGGUCUGUCGCGUCGAAAGUGAAAACCCAGGGCUUAACCCUGGGCCUGCUUCCGAUACGGGCAGACUAGAGGUAUGCAGGGGAGAACGGAAUUCCUGGUGUAGCGGUGAAAUGCGCAGAUAUCAGGAGGAGCACCGGUGGCGAAGGCGGUUCUCUGGGCAUUACCUGACGCUGAGGAGCGAAAGUGUGGGGAGCGAACAGGAUUAGAUACCCUGGUAGUCCACACCGUAAACGUUGGGCGCUAGGUGU
rnacentral:rRNA from 1 species